GAUGAAGAACGCAGCGAAAUGCGAUAAGUAAUGUGAAUUGCAGAAUUCAGUGAAUCAUCGAAUCUUUGAACGCAUCUUGCGCUCCUUGGUAUUCUGAGGAGCAUGCCUGUUUGAGUGUCAUUAAAUUCCCAACCGCACUGACUUUGAAUUGGUGUGGCUUGGAUUUGGGGGGAAAAUUGUUGUGGGCUUUUUUGUAUAGUCUGCUCCCCUGAAAUUGAUUAGCGGUACCUUUGUGGAACUGUCUACAGGUGUGAUAAUUAUCUACAUCCUAGACAUCUGCUGGAAUGCUGCUUUCUAAACCUUACUUGUAUUGACAAUCUUGACCUCAAAUCAGGUAGGACUACCCGCUGAACUUAAGCAUAUCAAUAAGCGGAGGA
rnacentral:misc_RNA from 1 species